GGGUAGCCCAGUGGUUAGAGGGUCUGUCUCACAAGCAGAAGGUCUAGGGUUUGAACCCUGGAGAUUCA